AGCGAACGCUGGCGGCAGGCUUAACACAUGCAAGUCGAGCGGACCUUUCGGGGUCAGCGGCGGACGGGUGAGUAACGCGUGGGAACGUGCCUUCCGGUUCGGAAUAACCCUGGGAAACUAGGGCUAAUACCGGAUACGCUCUUAUGGGGAAAGGUUUACUGCCGGAAGAUCGGCCCGCGUCUGAUUAGCUGGUUGGUGGGGGAACGGCCUACCAAGGCGACGAUCAGUAGCUGGUCUGAGAGGAUGAUCAGCCACACUGGGACUGAGACACGGCCCAGACUCCUACGGGAGGCAGCAGUGGGGAAUAUUGGACAAUGGGCGCAAGCCUGAUCCAGCCAUGCCGCGUGAGUGAUGAAGGCCUUAGGGUUGUAAAGCUCUUUUAUCCGGGACGAUAAUGACGGUACCGGAGGAAUAAGCCCCGGCUAACUUCGUG
rnacentral:rRNA from 1 species